GAAGGUAUAGCUCAGUGGUAGAGCAUGUUCUUAGCAUGCUUGAAGUCCUGGGUUCAAUUUCCCAGUACCUCCA
rnacentral:tRNA from 1 species